rnacentral:rRNA from 1 species
GACGAACGCUGGCGGCGUGCUUAACACAUGCAAGUCGAACGCGUGGCGAACGGGGGAGUAAUACGUGGGUAACCUGCCCUCUUUUUGGGCUAAGCCUUUGAAACCGGGUCUAAUACCGAAUUAGGGGGUUGGGCUCGCGGCGUAUCUGCUUGUUGGGGGGGUGAUGGCCUACCAAGGCGGUGACGGGUAGCCGGCCUGAGAGGGUGACCGGAAACAUUGGGAGGGAGAUACGGCCCAGACACGCACGGGAGGCAGGAGUGGGGGAUAUUGCACAAUGGGCGAGAAGCUGAUGCGGGGACGCCGAGAGGGGGAUGAAGGCUGUCGGGUUGUAAACCUGUGUCGAAAUCGAACGGGUAGGUGGAGAAGAAGCGCCGGCUAACUACGUGCCAGCAGCCGCGGUAAUUC